rnacentral:rRNA from 1 species
GGCAGGUGGCCGCUGGCGCGUCUCGUGCGCGUCGGCGGUUGUUAGCCGUUCCGCCAGUGGUACGUCACCCGGCCGAGGUGUCGCGAGGCCCUUACGGGCCUCAUCGUCUCCUCCUCCUUGAGACGCGGGUCAGAGUGUCGCAGGUGGAACCCGUCGCCCCGUACGCACCCCUGACGGGUGGUCGGGCGAACGGGAGACUCCGCUGGUGAUGCCGGACCCGUUGGAGGCCGGAGGCUUGCGGCGAGUAGGUCGGUCACCCACCCGACCCGUCUUGAAACACGGACCAAGGAGUCUAACAUGUGCGCGAGUCAAUGGGUCUUGAACAGGCCCAGGGGCGCAAUGAAAGCAAAGGUCGUCCUCAGCGUCGACCGAGUUGGGAUCCCCGUCUCUGAUGGCGGGGCGCACCAACGACCCGUCCUAUUCGGCUCGCCGAUUGGGCGGAGUUUGAGCGUACACGUUGGGACCCGAAAGAUGGUGAACUAUGCCCGGACAGGAUGAGGCCAGAGGAAACUCUGGUGGAGGUCCGCAGCGGUUCUGACGUGCAAUCGAUCGUCAG